rnacentral:misc_RNA from 1 species
UAAUAAGUGUUUUAUGGCACUUUUUAAAUCCAUAUCCACCUUGUGUGCAAUGUCAGUCGAUCUUCUUUAUGGAGAUUGACCAAACAUCAACCAUAUCUUUUUAACUCUUUGUCUGAAAAAUAUUAUGAAUAAACAAUUCAAAAUA